AAAUAAAAAAAGAUGGGAUUAUUAUAAUGAAAGUGUAUGCUGACAUUAUAAUAAUCUUGUCUAUGUUCUAAAUACAAAAUACCUUCACGAGGUUUAGAAUGAGUGAUAUAAGGAAAGUUAUAUUAUCUAAAUUUAUGUAUGUGGUAAAUGAUGUUGUGAUGUUAAAAAAGCGUGUGUGGUUAGGUGUAGAGAAUUAAUAUUAGAAUGAUAUCUAUGUAAGUUCGAGUUAGUUUUUAUAUUUAUAGUAUAAAGGAUCUUAUACUUGUAACAACACACUUAUUUUAACA
rnacentral:misc_RNA from 1 species